UACGAAGGGUGCAAGCGUUAAUCGGAAUUACUGGGCGUAAAGCGUGCGUAGGUGGUUUCCUAAGUCUGCUGUGAAAGCCCUGGGCUCAACCUGGGAAUGGCGGUGGAUACUGAGGAGCUAGAGUGCGGUAGAGGAGGGUGGAAUUCCCGGUGUAGCGGUGAAAUGCGUAGAGAUCGGGAGGAACAUCAGUGGCGAAGGCGGCCCUCUGGACCAGCACUGACGCUGAGGCACGAAAGCGUGGGGAGCAAACAGG
rnacentral:rRNA from 1 species